GCCCUCUGCUGUGGUCUAUGGCUUUUUAUUCCUAUGUGAUUGCUUUUCCUAACUCAUGUAGGGCGAAAAG
rnacentral:pre_miRNA from 1 species